rnacentral:rRNA from 1 species
UACGUAGGGGGCAAGCGUUGUCCGGAAUCAUUGGGCGUAAAGCGCGUGUAGGCGGUCCGGUAAGUCCGCUGUGAAAGUCGGGGGCUCAACCCUCGGAUGCCGGUGGAUACUGUCGGGCUUGAGUACGGAAGAGGCGAGUGGAAUUCCCGGUGUAGCGGUGAAAUGCGCAGAUAUCGAGAGGAACACCUGCGGCGAAGGCGGGUUGCUGGGCUGACACUGACGCUGACAGCGCGAAAGCUAGGGGAGCGAACGGG